CGCCUUUUGGUUUCAAUUUUUAUCUCCUUUGCCUUCACUCACUCACACUGCUCUCCUUCCUGUGACCACCAUCAAUCUUCCGGGUCGCACUCCAGCCAACCUCCGCCCUUGCAAAUCAGGCGACCUCUACCCUCUCUCGUUCUUCACGCUCACAGAUUACAGAGCCCUAACUCGCUCACCUGCUCUGCCUUGUGGCCGCCGCGGCACUACUGAUCUUCCGGGUCGCACUCCAGCCAACCUCCGACCUCGCAACUCAGGCGACCACCACCCUCGUGGUUCGCGUUCACAGGUAAUAGCUCUCACCCGCUCACACUGCUCUGCCUCGUGCAUGUGGCCGCCUCCUCCGGUCUCGGACCUCGCACCGCCACCAGCCUCUAAUCCUUGCCCCUUUGCGUCUUUGUGCGAUCUCUGUCAAGUCCCAAUUUUUUUCAAUCGGCGCUCAAUCCUCACCAUGAAUAAUACAAGGUAACUAUUUCUUCCCUCUGUUUCUCUGUUCUUAUGAUAAGGGCCAUUAUUUUGGUUCCCUGGCUGUGAAUCUGUUCCUGUGUUGCAGAUGUGAAAAUAAAAGUUUAAAUUUUGGCAUAUUAAAUUUAGGAAUAUGUUAGGAUCCAAUAUUUUUACCGAAAAAAAAAACUGAGAGAAUUGACUUGUUGUGAAUCUGUUCUUGUGAAUCUAUUCCUGUGUUGCAGAUUGUGUAUCAUCAAGUUUAAUUGUGCUUGCUUUGAAAAUAAUAUAUAUCACAACACAACUUUCUCUCCAAAUUCAACUGUCUUCUUUUUUCUUUUUUUAUUUUUCCCUCAAUAACCGCUGGUGCUUGUAUUACUAUGCUAAAAACAAGAAUAUCUUCAAGUUAAAUUUAAGUGUCAGCAUUAUUGUUUGCCAUGUAUGUAAGCUUGUAACCAUAGUUUCUAUGUGUAUAUAUAAAUCAUGUGGGAUAGAGAAAAUAGAAAGAAAGAAAUGGUGAAUAGUUUGCUCUGAAAUUAAAGAAUCUUGUUUAAUUAGUACUCAUCUAGCAUUUUGUAUUUUGUUGCUUUGGGUUUAGAGUCAGUUAACCUUCUCUAAUUUGAUUGCAUUUAUUUUGUUUUGUGUCAUGUGACUUGAGCAAAUUGGUAACAGAGCAGAACGCCUUAGGGUUAAAUCAGAUAUAUGUUUAUAUUCAAGUACUGAUAUUGAGGUGGAAAUAUGGAUUUUCUCUGAUUAAUUUGGCUGCUAGCAUUCUUUAAGCUAUAUUAUUUUCUGUUUUAUACAUGGAUUUUUAUAGAAGUUAUUGUCUGGGUCCUAUUAAGCGAUUAUUUCAUGUAAUAGCCUUAACUUGCGAGAACUGUAUGGUGAAGUCUAGAUACUUGUAUGCUUUUUUUAUCUUAAUUUAGUUUUCAGGAUAUAUUGAAGAAAGCUCAGCUUUUUUCCCCUCAUGCUAUGGUUGUUGAUUCAACACAAACUCUUAAUCCUAUUAACACUUGGUCAGAGCAAAAGGUUAAGUUGAAUGAUGCUGAGCACAAGUUAAAAGAUCAAGGACGUCAACUAAAGGUUCAACAGAAAAGAAUUGGUUCUACUAAAAAGACAAUUCAUGCUUUGUAUAAAAGGUUGAAUCUCCCACUUCCUUCAACUUUGUCUGAUCCUGCAGAAGAUGAGCUUGGGACAGGCU